rfam:Triticum aestivum genome assembly, contig: Triticum_aestivum_CS42_TGACv1_scaffold_050101_1BS
ACCAAUUCGGGUUGAUGAUUUUUGUUCCUCACAAGGUAAUGGCUCGGACGCUAGAAUUGAUUCUGUGGUGAUAUCCUGAUUGGUGGCGUUCUUGGUGCCAGCUUAUCCUGGAAAAGCCACAUAUAUUC